rnacentral:rRNA from 1 species
AGUCCCGCAACGAGCGCAACCCUUGAUCUUAGUUGCCAUCAUUAAGUUGGGCACUCUAAGGUGACUGCCGGUGACAAACCGGAGGAAGGUGGGGAUGACGUCAAAUCAUCAUGCCCCUUAUGACCUGGGCUACACACGUGCUACAAUGGACGGUACAAAGAGCUGCAAGACCGCGAGGUGGAGCUAAUCUCAUAAAACCGUUCUCAGUUCGGAUUGUAGGCUGCAACUCGCCUACAUGAAGCUGGAAUCGCUAGUAAUCGCGGAUCAGCAUGCCGCGGUGAAUACGUUCCCGGGCCUUGUACACACCGCCCGUCACACCACGAGAGUUUGUAACACCCGAAGUCGGUGGGGUAACCUUUUGGAGCCAGCCGCCUAAGGUGGACACGAUUUGCG